rnacentral:sRNA from 1 species
UGAGAUGUGCCCGAGAUGGCUGGUUGGGC